rnacentral:rRNA from 1 species
UACGGAGGGUGCAAGCGUUGUCCGGAUUUAUUGGGUUUAAAGGGUGCGUAGGCGGCCCGUUAAGUCAGUGGUGAAGGCCUCCAGCUCAACUGGAGAACUGCCAUUGAUACUGGCGGGCUUGAGUACAGACGAGGUUGGCGGAAUUGAUUGUGUAGCGGUGAAAUGCAUAGAUACAAUCAAGAACACCGAUUGCGUAGGCAGCUAACUAGGCUGUAACUGACGCUGAGGCACGAAAGCGUGGGGAGCGAACAGG